rnacentral:rRNA from 1 species
GACGAACGCUGGCGGCGUGCCUAAUACAUGCAAGUAGAACGCUGAAGGAGGAGCUUGCUUCUCUGGAUGAGUUGCGAACGGGUGAGUAACGCGUAGGUAACCUGCCUGGUAGCGGGGGAUAACUAUUGGAAACGAUAGCUAAUACCGCAUAAGAGUAGAUGUUGCAUGACAUUUGCUUAAAAGGUGCAAUUGCAUCACUACCAGAUGGACCUGCGUUGUAUUAGCUAGUUGGUGGGGUAACGGCUCACCAAGGCGACGAUACAUAGCCGACCUGAGAGGGUGAUCGGCCACACUGGGACUGAGACACAGCCCAGACUCCUACGGGAGGCAGCAGUAGGGAAUCUUCGGCAAUGGACGGAAGUCUGACCGAGCAACGCCGCGUGAGUGAAGAAGGUUUUCGGAUCGUAAAGCUCUGUUGUAAGAGAAGAACGAGUGUGAGAGUGGAAAGUUCACACUGUGACGGUAUCUUACCAGAAAGGGACGGCUAACUACGUGCCAGCAGCCGCGGUAAUACGUAGGUCCCGAGCGUUGUCCGGAUUUAUUGGGCGUAAAGCGAGCGCAGGCGGUUAGAUAAGUCUGAAGUUAAAGGCUGUGGCUUAACCAUAGUACGCUUUGGAAACUGUUUAACUUGAGUGCAAGAGGGGAGAGUGGAAUUCCAUGUGUAGCGGUGAAAUGCGUAGAUAUAUGGAGGAACACCGGUGGCGAAAGCGGCUCUCUGGCUUGUAACUGACGCUGAGGCUCGAAAGCGUGGGGAACAAACAGGAUUAGAUACCCUGGUAGUCCACGCCGUAAACGAUGAGUGCUAGGUGUUAGACCCUUUCCGGGGUUUAGUGCCGUAGCUAACGCAUUAAGCACUCCGCCUGGGGAGUACGACCGCAAGGUUGAAACUCAAAGGAAUUGACGGGGGCCCGCACAAGCGGUGGAGCAUGUGGUUUAAUUCGAAGCAACGCGAAGAACCUUACCAGGUCUUGACAUCCCUCUGACCGCUCUAGAGAUAGAGCUUUCCUUCGGGACAGAGGUGACAGGUGGUGCAUGGUUGUCGUCAGCUCGUGUCGUGAGAUGUUGGGUUAAGUCCCGCAACGAGCGCAACCCCUAUUGUUAGUUGCCAUCAUUCAGUUGGGCACUCUAGCGAGACUGCCGGUAAUAAACCGGAGGAAGGUGGGGAUGACGUCAAAUCAUCAUGCCCCUUAUGACCUGGGCUACACACGUGCUACAAUGGCUGGUACAACGAGCCGCAAGCCGGUGACGGCAAGCUAAUCUCUUAAAGCCAGUCUCAGUUCGGAUUGUAGGCUGCAACUCGCCUACAUGAAGUUGGAAUCGCUAGUAAUCGCGGAUCAGCACGCCGCGGUGAAUACGUUCCCGGGCCU